AGUGAACGCUGGCGGUAGGCCUAACACAUGCAAGUCGAACGGCAGCACAGUAAGAGCUUGCUCUUACGGGUGGCGAGUGGCGGACGGGUGAGGAAUACAUCGGAAUCUACUUUUUCGUGGGGGAUAACGUAGGGAAGCUUACGCUAAUACCGCAUACGACCUACGGGUGAAAGCAGGGGAACUUCGGACCUUGCGCGAAUGAAUGAGCCGAUGUCGGAUUAGCUAGUUGGCGGGGUAAAGGCCCACCAAGGCGACGAUCCGUAGCUGGUCUGAGAGGAUGGUCGGCCACACUGGAACUUAGACACGGUCCAGACUCCUACGGGAGGCAGCAGUGGGGAAUAUUGGACAAUGGGCGCAAGCCUGAUCCAGCCAUCCCGCGUGGGUGAAGAAGGCCUUCGGGUUGUAAAGCCCUUUUGUUGGGAAAGAAAAGCAGCAGGUUAAUACCCCGCUGUUCUGACGGUACCCAAAGAAUAAGCACCGGCUAACUUCGUG
rnacentral:rRNA from 1 species